rnacentral:rRNA from 1 species
GUGCCAGCAGCCGCGGUAAUACGUAGGUGGCGAGCGUUGUCCGGAUUUACUGGGCGUAAAGGAUGCGUAGGCGGAUAUUUAAGUGGGAUGUGAAAUACCCGGGCUUAACCUGGGUGCUGCAUUCCAAACUGGAUAUCUAGAGUGCAGGAGAGGAAAGCGGAAUUCCUAGUGUAGCGGUGAAAUGCGUAGAGAUUAGGAAGAACACCAGUGGCGAAGGCGGCUUUCUGGACUGUAACUGACGCUGAGGCAUGAAAGCGUGGGGAGCAAACAGGAUUAGAUACCCUGGUAGUCC